rnacentral:rRNA from 1 species
AUUGAACGCUGGCGGAAUGCUUUACACAUGCAAGUCGAACGGCAGCACGGGGGCAGCCCUGGUGGCGUGUUGCGAACGGGUGAGUAAUACAUCGGUACGUGCCCGGUCGUGGGGAUAACGUAGCGAACGUUACGCUAAUACCGCAUACGAUCUGUGGUUGAAAGCGGGGGACCUUCGAGCCUCGCGCGAUCGGACCGGCCGAUGUCAGAUUAGGUAGUUGGUGGGGUAAAGGCCUACCAAGCCGACGAUCUGUAGCUGGUCUGAGAGGACGACCAGCCACACUGGGACUGAGACACGGCCCAGACUCCUACGGGAGGCAGCAGUGGGGAAUUUUGGACAAUGGGCGCAAGCCUGAUCCAGCAAUUCCGCGUGCAGGACGAAGGCCUUCGGGUUGUAAACUGCUUUUGUACGGAACGAAAAGGCUCUGGCUAAUACCUGGAGCUCAUGACGGUACCGUAAGAAUAAGCACCGGCUAACUACGUG